UCCUGCCGGACCUGACUGCUAUCGGAUUGAUACUAAGCCAUGCGAGUCUUUGUAGUAAUACAAGGCAGACGGCUCAGUAACACGUAGUCAACCUACCCUAUGGACAAGAAUAAUCUCGGGAAACUGGGCAUAAUUCUUGAUAGAUCAUAAUGCCUGGAAUGGUUUAUGGUUAAAAUGAUUCGUCGCCAUAGGAUGGGACUGCGGCCUAUCAGUUUGUUGGUGAGGUAAUGGCCCACCAAGACUAUUACAGGUACGGGCUCUGAGAGGAGUAGCCCGGAGAUGGGUACUGAGACACGAAUCCAGGCCCUACGGGGCGCAGCAGGCGCGAAAACUUGACAAUGCGAGAAAUCGUGAUCAGGGGACUCCAGUUGGCUGGAUCAAAAGUCCAGUCUGAACCGACUUUAAAUCGGUCGGGUAAUAGGGGCGGGAAAGACCGGUGCCAGCCGCCGCGGUAAUACCGGCGCCCCAAGUGGUCGUCACUAUUAUUGGGCCUAAAACGUCCGUAGCCGGUUUGGUAAAUCCGUGGGUAAAUCAGACAGCCCAACUGUCUGAAUUCUGCGGGGACUGCCAGACUUGAGACCGGGAGAGGUGCGGGGUACCUGCGGGGUACCGGUAAAAUGGGAUCAUCCCGUAGAGACCACCUGUUGCGAAGGCGCCGCACUAGAACGGAUCUGACGGUCAGGGACGAAGCCUAGGGGCACGAACCGGAUUAGAUACCCGGGUAGUCCUAGGUGUAAACGCUGUGGACUUGGUGUCGGGGACCUUCUGAGGGUCUCCGGUGCCGGAGUGAAGAUGUUAAGUCCACUGCCUGGGGAG
rnacentral:rRNA from 1 species